CUGCACACACAGGGCAGGGGGUUGGUUACAUGGGGGGUGGGAUUUUUCCCUUCCAAGAGCAGUAACAACCCCAAGGUUAUGAGUGAGAACCAAGUGAUCCCAUUGCCUCAAACCACCCUAAAGGCAUUCUGGAAAAUCCAAGGGGGAUCUGCUCCAGAACAGGCUCCCCUCUCCAGGUCUCCAGGCCCUUCUCCCUUCCACAUGAACUCAUUUCUUACACCCCCAGCAAGGUGAGGAAGUUCAAACACAACAUGUACACGCUGGGGGACCCCAAAGAAACCACCAAAGACAGCAAGAGCUUCUGUGUUUGCAGCCAAAACCCCAGAGUGCUGCUUCUUUGCAGCCUGCCUUGGCCUUUCCUGCUGCAGGAGAACCCAAGGAGGAGAAUCCCUCAUUUUUUUGUCCUCAUUUUGGUGGGUCUGGUGCUGUUCCUGCGGGUACAGGAGUUCAGGGAUCGAUGCUGGAUUUGCUGCAAUCCCACAGAUUUUAAAUAAACAGCCAUUUUUCAGGCAGGCAGGGCCCGGGGAGAUUUCAGGCAAGGAUCUGUCUUUGCUGGCAGAGGAAGGUUUGCCAACACUGACAGGCUGUGACGUGGACACCCCAGGUUUGGGGGGCACAGGGGGGUUCCCCUGCAUCCCACAGCCUCAUCCUCCCAGGAACAGCAACAGUGGAGCUCUUUGGAUAAUAUAUCAUGGACAGAACCCCCAGCAGAGUGACAGGAGAAGGAGGGAAAUCAGGUAACCCCCAAACCACCCCCAAAACAGAACAAACAUUUCACCCUGAAAAAAUAAAAUAAUAAAAACAACCCAACCUUUUUUUUUCCCCCUCUCUUCUCAUCAUCCAGGCUCCCUUUCUUUUGCAGCCUCUCCCCUCAGCAGGAUUUAACCAUGCAGAGAGUAAAACUCAUCAAUCCUCCAGGUUUAACCUUGUCUCUGUUUCAAUUCACCAGGGAUAUGAGACAUCAGACCUGAGCUUGUAACACCCCACUGCAAGUGUGUUACCUGCAGCUGCAGGAAAGGUGACUUUAGCACAAAGAGGUUCUGGAGGCAGCAUGUGCUGAGGAAUAACCUGUGCAGGUAAUUAACAGCACUCACACCUCAGGUAGGGAGUGUGGAAGGAGCAGGUCGAUACAGGGGUCUUCCCUGAAUUAAAAUUUAACUCACCCUUUAUUGCAACCUACAAAAGCAAGUAAUGAGCACUAACAUUUUUAUUUCUUUUAAACUGUCAUUUAGGCUGUAGAGGGGAUAAUUACCUAUUUCCACUGUAGUAAGGUUUUAUCACCCUUAGUGAGGCAUUUUCUAAUUUAAUAUUUUUACUGUAUUAUCAUAAAACCUGUUUCUGGAAAAAAUGAUCACGGACCACGGAGCCAUUUGCCAUAAAACAUGUGUGUGUAAGUACCUUGGCUUAAUUAUUUAUGCAUUUCUUCUGAGCUGGCUCCAGAGCCAAGGGACAGCACCCCACCAUGAAAACUGGGCUUUUCAGGUCAACAAUAUUGUUUGAAAAUGUGAAAUAAAGGGAGCAGCUACUCCAGGUGGUGAACCUGGUGUGCUAAAUGCCCAGUGGGCUCUUUCUUCCCCCCUCCAAACCCCAGGUAUUGCUGCUACACCCAUUUUAGAGGCAAAAUCCUUGCAACAGAGAACAAGGAAAAACACACACACUCACAGAGUGAAUAUUAAUUGCAACUGCACAUUUCGUAAAUCUGCAGGAAUCUUCAGCAUAUAAAUCACAAAAAUUCUAAACAGAUGCCCAGGAAGGGACUUUGCCCACCAAAUGCACAAAGGGGAAACCAAACAUGCACCUGCACGUGGGAAAAACCAGUGUUGUGCUACUCUGAGUAAUUAUAGACAUGUUACAAAGUCUUUUUUCUAAACAUAGUUCUGUGAAUUAAUAGAAGAACAAUAUUAAGGGGGAAAAUUCAGUUUCUGAUUUGUUUGUUUGUUUUUAGGUUUUUGUUUGGUUUUGGGGUUUUUGUGGGUUUUUUUGUUUGUCUUGUUUUGUUUUUUAUUAAAAUAGCAACAGUGCUCAAGCCACUGCUGUGCUCUUGUAGUAAAAAUACCCUCCAACCAAUUUCUCUGCCUUUUCCCUUGUACCUUUUACUUCUUCUCUUCCUCUACCCCAAAAAAAGAUAAUUUAGAAUAAGCCACAAGCAGUACUGAAAUGACUGUAUAACCCAUUCCUACCGCCAUCCUCCAGUGGGAACGCUGAAUUUUUAAUUCACAAAAACUGGAAAAAAGGCAGAUCACGAACACCCAUGAAGAAAGCAAGCAUGAAAAAAUGGAAAACACACAACUCCUGAAGAAAAUUGAAGUUGGCUGAUUGUUUCCUUGGAAAACUUUCUGUCUGUACCCUAAGAAAUGUUUCGUCCCAUGGUGUGAAAUUCAGAUUACUCAGUGCCCAGCAAGCAGAGCAGGUAACAGGAAGAUAAAAGAUAGAAAGAUAAAACAAAGCUGAAGCUUUUUAUUUCUUAAUAAAAAUGAUUUUUUUUCUUAAAAAAUGAAAGGAGAGGAGCAGCUACUCCGGGUGAGCUUGGUGUGCUAAAUGCCCCCCUCCAAAUCCCAGCUAUCACUGCUACACACACUCUACAGGCAACAGAAAAGAGAGCAGGAAGACAAAACAAGCUGGAACCAUUUAUUUUUUAAUUUCUGGUGAAAGGCUAAAGCAGCCUUAGUUUCUGGUCAAACCCCAAACCAGCUGGCUGUGGGGUCUGGCUCUGUUCUCCCACCCCGCACUCCCCACUCCGGCCCUGCAGCCACAAACCCUCGGGGUGCUGGGUGAGGUGGAGACCCCCAAAGCAGGGCUCAGACCCCCCCAGUGGCACAGGGAGGGCCCUGGGGCUCCGUGCCCAGCCCCACGAGGUGGCACUCACUCCCUUCCCAGCCCCUGAGCGCUCAGCUCAGCUGUGACCCCCUGGCCCUGCCCACGCUCCGGGGGCUCCACAAAGGUCUCCUGCCAUUCCCUCCAGCCCAGGCAGGUCGGGAUCAGGAUCCCCCAGCCUGUGCAAACGCUUUUAGCCCCACGGCCCUGAAUUAUGGAAGGUGACAUGUGACCUCCUGCUCGUCUCCCGAGAUUUAUAAACGCUUCACAAAGCUGGUUCUUGCCCUAAACAAAGGGAGGCUGCACAGUUGGAGAGGCUGGAUCUGGGAAUGAGGAGUGGGAAAGGGCUGGUGCCAAACACAGCCAGACCUGGGGUUCAUCCCUGCCACCAAUUCUGCACGUUCCCCUCACACCUGCACCAGCCUUGAGCUUGGGAUACCAUUAACAGAGGAGAGAUGGACCCUCUCUCAUCCUGACUCUGGUCCCAACUGCAUUUUCUUUGGAGCUUUUACAGCAUAAAGCACAAAAUAUGUGGGCAAAUGGCUGCAGAAGCAGCAAAACACAGGGAUGUGCAGGCAACUCUAGCCAGUUCCACUGCCAUGUGUUCCAGCAGCUGGAAUUUCCCCAUGAAUUACAUCAAAUGCCUUCUCAGUCAGUUUUUGGAUGGGUAUUUGAGCAGAGCAGCCUCUGAUGCUGCAUGGGAAGAGCCCUGUGCAGGAGAGCAGGAGGGGACCAUUCUUUGUGCCCCUUAACGCCCCAUAUUCCUGGGAUGAUUUCCCUCUUUCACAGCUUGCCUGUUUUAUAACAGAUUUGAUGCAGGAGAAGACAAAUUGUCUCACAAAGGAAAGACGACAAAUCAUCUCGCAGCCCUUUAACAGGUUAUUUUUUUUCCUUCCCCUUUAAAAAGGAAAUUUCCAUAGCAGAGGCGCCUCUCUCCUUACAGGGAUGUCAGACAUCAAGUGUUGGGACAGGAUGGUUCCAGUGAUGGGUCAUCACUUCACCCUGCCAGCCAAAACCACACAGCCCCCUGUGCAAACACCAGCCCUUCUGAGUUAAAGUGACUCAGGGUGUCAAACUGCACCUCCAUGAGCUGAUGGUGAAGGCCAAGUCAAAGGUUGGGGGGAUUUUUAAAUGAAACAAAGAAAAUGAGACACAAAGGGCAGAAAUUUCAAGGCCAGGUUGGAUGGAGCUCUGGGCAAGCUGGUCUAGUGGAAGGUGUCCCUUGUCCAUGGCAGGAGGGGGAAUGAGAUGACCUUUAAGGUCCCUUCCAACCCAAACCAUUCUGGCAUUCUGUGAUCCCAAAGUCACAGUGCCUCUGGAUGAAGCCAAGCAGGUUUAGUUUCACAGGACAACACAGGUUCUUUGUCUGGUUUCAGGCUCUCCUGCAGCUCAGGUGUGCAGCAGGUUACACAGCACCUCUCCAGGAGAGCCCACACAUCUCCCCUGAGGGGGUUCCUCCAGCAGCCCCAGAGCCCAGGCAGAAAACUCCCCCUCCCACCCACAGCCUCGUGCCAGAACACCCCAAAUUCCCUAAAACAUCAGAGCCCUGCACCCUCUGAGACAGCCCUCCAUGUUCAUACUCUCUCCCUUUGUUUCCCAAAACAAAGCCAAAGCAGGACAGCCUUUCUUCCAGGCUGUGCCCAAAUAAACUUACUUUUCUCACACCAACACCCAGGUUCGUGCCAUGCAGCACAGAAGCCACUGGCUUAGUUGUUCCAGAAGGAAGGGCUUUGCUUCCUCUCAGGAAUUCUGUGCUGGUGAAGGUACUGGAUUGACAAUCGCAGAGCCCAAAUUCCUCCAUUAAUCCCAUCUCAUGGUGUUUUAAUACCCAAAGUACAAAGUGAGCGAAGUUAAAGGCUGGUAUCUCACCAACCUUUUUUUUUUUUUUUUAAUUUUUUUUUAUUAAACUCUUAUGUCAUAUAAGUAAAUUAAUCUUUUAAUACCAGGAUUUCCUACUACGUACCCCCCUCUGCUUGCAGAGACACGCUGUGACAAAGCAACCGCGCCAAAGUGAGAAUGCUGAUCGGGAAAACACACAACGUCCCGGCUGGAUCCGAGGGAAAUGCUCUAAUCCAAGCCUCUCUGGCAGCUGGAUAAUCUGCCCAUCUCACCAGCAGCUCUCCGUGGCACAGAGCAAUCAGAACACAGAGCAACCUGCUCAAGGUCACCCAGGAAGCCACUGGCAGAACAAGGAACAGAACCUGCCCAGCCUGACUCCAUCCUUGCCCCAUCCACAUCCAGGGCUGCUGAUCUUGGCAGAGCGGGAUCCAGCUGCCCACACGGCACGACCCCCAGGCACGCCCGCUGUGUGACACAUCAACACGUCUAACCCAGCACAGGGGCUCGGUGCCUGCAGAGCCAUCAGCAGAGAGCAUGGAAAGCCUCCAAAGCGACUCAUAAACUUAAUGUCAGGACUAAGUUCCCGCAGUCAGACAAUGAGCAGCAGCUGCUGCCGCCACCGAACGCUCGGUGACACCGCGCGAGCGACGCAAUAACCUGCUCGACGUGGGCACAACAACACCGGCACACACCCCCAGGAGAGCAAAUGUCAACCACUCUGCCCCCACCACAGCGAGAACUGUGAGGACAGAGCCUAACACGGACGGGCUGGAGCAGUUCUGGGGGUCAGGCACCGUGCUGGGGGCUCGAGGUGCCUCCCGGGCAGCGAGGGGCAGCAGGAUGGCAGAUGAGGAUGGAAGAUGAAGGGGAGCUGAGGCCCGAGAAGGCCAUAGCACAGAAUGACUCCCCCUGUCCCAGCUGUUUGAUGCACUCCACGUUUGCUCUGGCUGGCUGCAGGAUUUUGGCUCGCAGAGCACAUUUUCUGUGCAACUUUCGGAACACGAGUGAGCGCGGUGGGCUGUGAAGGAGGAGGCAAUGUCACCUCUGGGGACAGCACACUCAGUGUCCCUCCUCUAUUAUCAGUCUCACCCUUUUUUUUUCACCUCCCUCUCCCUCAUACACCCCAUGGGAGCUAAGCUUGCCUUAAUUUUGGGGGCACAGCAGGGAUCUGCAGCCUGCAGGACAGUGCAGUAAGUACUACAUAACCACACCCCAACCUCAUUCCAAAUUCCUAAAGCAUAAUAAUAACCAGUCAACUGGACAUAAUACUAAGAGAGAGGAAUAUUGCAGGCAUGCAGAUUAUUAAUGAAAAUGGUACCAACCGGUUCUUCCUGUAACACAUUUGCCACCUGCCAACUGCCCUCAGACAAAAAGAUGAGGGGAACAAGCAGCACAUCCCAGAAUUGUUCCCACAGGAUGCUUUGACUCUACCAGGAAAGUACAUCUAUCCUGCCCCAUCCUAUGAUCCAGGUAAGGGGUGGAAGAACUGAGCACUUUAUAUGGCUGAAGGAAUAGCUUUCACCCUGCACCUGCACCACGUUUAUUUCCGUGGUGAGAGGAUCUAAACAAUACUAAAAAUUCAGAGCAGCUGGGGUUUUUUUCUCACUUGAAAAAAAGA